CCUACGGGAGGCAGCAGUGGGGAAUAUUGGGCAAUGGGCGCAAGCCUGACCCAGCAACGCCGCGUGAAGGAAGAAGGCUUUCGGGGUGUAAACUUCUUUUAAGAGGGAAGAGCAGAAGACGGUACCUCUCUAAUAAGCCACGGCUAACUACGUGCCAGCAGCCGCGGUAAUACGUGGGUGGCAAGAGUUGUCCGGAUUUAUUGGGUGUAACGGGCGUGUAGCCGGGCUGACAAGUCAGUUGUGAAAUUCCGGGGCUCAACCCCGGACUUGCAUUUGAAACUGUUGGCCUUGAGUAUAGGAGAGGCAGGCGGAAUUCGUGGUGUAGCGGUGAAAUGCGUAGAUAUUAGGAGGAACACCAGUGGCGAAGGCAGCCUGCUAGACGACAACUGACGGUGAGGCGCGAAAGCGUGGGGAGCAAACAGGAUUAGAUACCCGAGUAGUC
rnacentral:rRNA from 1 species